rnacentral:rRNA from 1 species
CCUACGGGAGGCAGCAGUGGGGAAUAUUGGGCAAUGCCUGCAAGGGUGACCCAGCAACGCCGCGUGGAGGAUGAAGGCCGUAAGGUUGUAAACUCUGACAAGCAGGGAAGAACGGCUAUGGUAAAAGGCCAUAGAAUGACGGUACCUGCCUGAAGCCCCGGCUAACUACGUGCCAGCAGCCGCGGUAAUACGUAGGGGGCGAGCGUUGUCCGGAUUUACUGGGUGUAAAGGGUGCGUAGGCGGGCUAGUAAGUCAGUGGUAAAAAACCGUGGCUUAACAGCGGGGGUGCCAUUGAUACUAUUAGUCUAGAGUACGGUAGGGAGAGCUGAAAUUCCUGGUGUAGGGGUGAAAUACGCAGAUAUCAGGAGGAAUACCGGAGGCGAAGGCGAGCUCUGGGGCCGCUACUGACGCUGAGGCACGAAAGCGGGGGGAUCAAACAGGAUUAGAUACCCCUGUAGU